rnacentral:misc_RNA from 1 species
CAGGAGGGGGGCUUGCCCCCGAUGACGGUGGUUCAGUACAGAUGUACCGACUGACACACAGCUAUCGGGGGCAAGCCCCCUCCCAC